rnacentral:rRNA from 1 species
GGGAGGCAGCAGUGAGGAAUAUUGGUCAAUGGGCGCUAGCCUGAACCAGCCAAGUAGCGUGAAGGAUGACUGCCCUAUGGAUUGUAAACUUCUUUUAUAUGGGAAUAAAGUGCAGUAUGUAUACUGCUUUGCAUGUACCUUAUGAAUAAGGAUCGGCUAACUCCGUGCCAGCAGCCGCGGUAAUACGGAGGAUCCGAGCGUUAUCCGGAUUUAUUGGGUUUAAAGGGAGCGUAGGCGGGUUGUUAAGUCAGUUGUGAAAGUUUGCGGCUCAACCGUAAAAUUGCAGUUGAUACUGGCAUCCUUGAGUACAGUAGAGGUAGGCGGAAUUCGUGGUGUAGCGGUGAAAUGCUUAGAUAUCACGAAGAACUCCGAUUGCGAAGGCAGCCUGCUGGACUGUAACUGACGCUGAUGCUCGAAAGUGUGGGUAUCAAACAGGAUUAGAUACCCUGGU